rnacentral:ncRNA from 1 species
UUAAUUAUUUAACAAGCAUGGCGAAAGCCAGGGACGCAAAGCCAAGGGUCUAAGGUUUUAUUCUAUGGCAGCCGCUUGUCCCC